GAUAGGAUGGGAGUGGAUCAGAUGAUUAUAUAAAAGUAUAAUGCGCCCGUGUCACCAACGGAUGAUCGAGAUGGUAUGUCUGGUAUCACUUUAAAUGUUCACAACUCUCAGGACGGCGUAUUUCUCCCUGCCGCUUAUUUCCUGCUUGACCUUGUGAACUCGUCCGUGUGACCCGGAAAAAUCACUUCCAAUUCUCAUAUUUUAUUUUUAUAUGCCUGGGCUUGUUAUGUAUUACCCAGACAGGAUGUGACAUCACCGGGUCCAAACGGCAGGACGGGCUGUCUAGGAUGUCCAGAACCCGGGCUGCUGUAGGAUGCUGCCUCGCAGCGGGGUCCAGACAAGUGAUGCUCGCUGGAGGAUGCAGGAGAGAACCACGCAGGCGAGACAGAGGCACAGGAGACUGAAAUCUCUCUAUUUCCUUUACCUCCUGGUUUGAGAAUGACCCCCUCACCUGGCUUGUGACUCUUAAACUGGAUAUCACUCCUGAGAGUUGGCUCAGGGACAGACUACUCCUGUUCAACCACAGCAGGCUGUCUCUCCUCCGACAGACUGCGCUGUGAGAGAGCCAAGCCAUUAGACACUCCCAGUGCUGAUAAUGAAGACACAGAGGUGGUCCAAAGCAGCGUGAUGCAGUGGAGGAGAGAAGAGCAGGAGCAGAGAAGGAAGGUAGAUUAGGAUAAUUACCUGGCGUCGGUGGUAAAGAGAGAGAGAGAGAGAGAGAGAGAGAGAGAGAGAGAGAGAUGUCUUACUUCCAGCCGUCUCCAUUUGCAAAAGGAGUAUUACCGCAAUAUUGCCAAUUGCAGGAUUGAGGAUUCAUGGUUUAUGGGGCAGGAAAAGAGAAAUUGUAACAUCAAAUGAGUCAUUUCAAUUCCCAGUGAAUGUCAAUAUAAUGUGCUGUGUGGUCUGAUAAUAGGAACAAAAUAAA